UGGGGAAUAUUGCACAAUGGGCGGAAGCCUGAUGCAGCGACGCCGCGUGAGGGAUGACGGCCUUCGGGUUGUAAACCUCUUUCAGUAGGGACGAAGCGUAAGUGACGGUACCUGCAGAAGAAGCACCGGCUAACUACGUGCCAGCAGCCGCGGUAAUACGUAAGGGGCGAGCGUUGUCCGGAAUUAUUGGGCGUAAAGAGUGCGUAGGCGGCAAAUUAAGUCAGAUGUGAAAACUAAGGGCUCAACCCAUAGAUUGCAUCUGAAACUGAUAUGCUUGAGUCAAGGAGAGGAAAGUGGAAUUCCUAGUGUAGCGGUGGAAUGCGUAGAUAUUAGGAGGAAUACCGGUGGCGAAGGCGACUUUCUGGACUUGAACUGACGCUGAGGCACGAAAGCGUGGGGAGCAAACAGG
rnacentral:rRNA from 1 species